UUUAGAGUUGUGAGGCUAACACUUAGCAUCAUGGCUGGCAUGAGAAGAUGCUCAAUGUGUUUACUGAAGUGAAUUUAAGAGUGUAACCAUGAGUUGACAUUUCUUAUCAUGUCACACCACAGAGAGAGAGAGAGAGGCAGAGACACAGGCAGAGGGAGAAGCAGGCUCCAUGCACCGGGAGCCCGACGUGGGAUUCGAUCCCGGAUCUCCAGGAUCGCGCCCUGGGCCAAAGGCAGGCGCCGAACCGCUGCGCCACCCAGGGAUCCCUAAUAAUGGAUUAUUAAUCAGCCAUGAGAAAAACCAAAGAAAAUCCUGCCCAUUGUGACAGCAUUGAUGAAAUUGAAGGUAUUAUGCUAAGCAAAAUAAAUCAGAGAAAGACAAAUACUGUAUAUUACUUACAUGUGGAAUCCAAAAAAUAAAAAUAAAAAAGAACUCAUAGGAGCAGAGAAUAUAACAGUAGUUGCCAAUGGCCAAGAAUUGGGAGAAAUGAAGAGAUAUUGUUCAAAGUAUACAAACUUCCAGUUUUAAGAUGAAUAUGUUCUGGGGAUCUAACGUAUACCAGUUAUAAUCAUAGCUGAUGACAUUGUACUGUAUACUUGCAAGUUGCUAAGAGACUAGUUCUUAAAUAUUCUCAUCAUAACAACCACCACCACCAUAACAAUAACAACAAAAUGGUAAUUAUGUGAGAUGAAGGAUGUGUUAACUAACUAUUGUGGUAAUGUUUUGCAAUAUAUACAUGUAUCAAAUCAAAUUGUCAACCUUAAACUUAUACAAUGUUAUAUGUCAAUUAAAUAUCAAUAAACCUGGAAAAAAUACUAAUUGAAAAGAAUUUUACGUA